GGCUGGUCCAAAGGUAGUGAGUUAACUCACUUGACUGUUCACAGUCAGUUACAGAUUGAACUCGUUGUUCUACUAGGUAACCCCCCUUCUCACUACUGCACUUGACUCGUAUUUA
rnacentral:Y_RNA from 1 species